AGCGAACGCUGGCGGCAGGCCUAACACAUGCAAGUCGAACGAAGCCUUCGGGCUUAGUGGCGGACGGGUGAGUAACACGUGGGAACGUACCUUUUGGUUCGGAAUAACGCAGAGAAAUUUGCGCUAAUACCGAAUGAGCCCUUAGGGGGAAAGAUUUAUCGCCGAAAGAUCGGCCCGCGUUGGAUUAGGUAGUUGGUGUGGUAAAGGCGCACCAAGCCUACGAUCCAUAGCUGGUCUGAGAGGAUGAUCAGCCACACUGGGACUGAGACACGGCCCAGACUCCUACGGGAGGCAGCUGUGGGGAAUCUUGCGCAAUGGGCGAAAGCCUGACGCAGCCAUGCCGCGUGAAUGAUGAAGGUCUUAGGAUUGUAAAAUUCUUUUACCAGGGACGAUAACGACGGUACCUGGAGAAAAAGCCCCGGCUAACUUCGUGCCAGCCGCCGCAGUAAGAC
rnacentral:rRNA from 1 species